CGCCACUUUAAUAAAUAUGUUGGUGUGCUGGGACCAGGAUGCAUUGUGCUAUUGGACUUAUUUUGUUUGUUCGAACUGUGCUUGAGUCAGUCGUCUAUGUUCGGGUGGGCAAGUUCUCGCAACUCGUUCACUUGAUUGUGACUUAUGACCCUAAGAAUUUCUCCAUUUCCUUUUUGUAUUGCUUAUUUUAAAUUCAAUUAUAUUCUACAUUUGGAAUGAGAGAUUUAAUUAUGUCACACAAUAAACUAUUCAUAGGAAUUAAAUUUUGAUUUAAUUAUCUAAUUGAAUAAACCUAAGCAGACACGUUACAAGUAAAAUGAUAAAAAAAAAAUAACAUCAAACUGUAGUGGCGUUCGUGAAUUAGAAACUGAGUUUUUUAAAGUUUCCACAUUUAUAACAAAGUGGGGGCCAAUACGGCUUUGGGCUGACUUAUUAAGCUUUGCACCUUUGGAUAUCAUUCUUAAUUUGUUAUGGCCCAAAACAUUUUUAUUAAUGGGUAAUUGAAUGAUUCUAUUAAAAGAGAACCAAAAGAAACAACAAACUACAACACAAUAAUAGCAACAAAAGCCAAGCUAAAACA
rnacentral:lncRNA from 1 species